CGAAACCGAAGACCGAAGCCGAAAUAACCGAGACCGAAACCGAAAAACACAGUAUUUCGGUCAUCGGUCAUCACAUCGGUCUUGACUAUCAGGUGACCGAAAUAAUCUCGUACUGUUCGGUUAUGGAGAGAGAGCGACCGAAAUGACCGAUCCGACCGAGAAUUUCAGCCCAGCUAGCCCACAUCUCCAUGGCAGGCCACCAGCCCAUCUAGACAUGGACGAGUAGAGACCCUCUCGUCUCGUGUCUUUCGUCUGCCUCUCGCUUCCUUCCCCAAUUGACCAGAACGCUGUCUCCUGCAAGCGCCGCCGCCGCGCCACCUCGCCGCCACCCUCCGGCCACCCCAGCAUCUCCGUCCCCGCCCCAUCUCCAGCCCCGCGUUGGCGCCUCACCAGCACGUGACCACGUUCCAAUUCCGGCCAGAUAUGCCACGCCACCGCCCGAUCUGCAACGCCGGCAGCCUCAACGCUUGCAGAAUACCAACCGGUCGAAGGAUUGAACCAGGCUACUCGCAACCGGCGACUUGCCAGAGUCACGAUGACAGCCGAAUCUGAAGAUGAGCUGAGACAAUAUGUUCAUGAGGAUGAGCUGAAUGUACGUGAGCUUGCCCUUGCGAAUGCAGAAGCAAAUGAAGCAAUAGCUCCAGGAAUGGACGCCUUGCUGCCAUGUUUUUUCCUGUGCUGCAAAGUAUAAAGUGAAAUACCUGAAAUAAUCACCAUGUUGUGCUUCCAUUUCUUAGAUACAUGUGCCGCAUUUUCUCUA